GGGGAUGUAGCUCUGGGGUACACUAUGUACUUAACAUCUACGAGGUCCUGGGUUCAAUCCCCAGCAUCACAU
rnacentral:tRNA from 1 species